UACGUAGGGUCCAAGCGUUAAUCGGAAUUACUGGGCGUAAAGCGUGCGCAGGCGGUUUUGCAAGACCGAUGUGAAAUCCCCGAGCUUAACUUGGGAAUUGCAUUGGUGACUGCACGGCUAGAGUGUGUCAGAGGGGGGUAGAAUUCCACGUGUAGCAGUGAAAUGCGUAGAGAUGUGGAGGAAUACCGAUGGCGAAGGCAGCCCCCUGGGAUAACACUGACGCUCAUGCACGAAAGCGUGGGGAACAAACAGG
rnacentral:rRNA from 1 species